GCUUCCAUAGUUCAAGGGAUAGAACCACUGAGUCCUAAUCAGAAGAUAUGUGUUCGAGUCACAUUGGAAGUAC
rnacentral:tRNA from 1 species